rnacentral:rRNA from 1 species
GGGAAUUCGAUUAGAGUUUGAUCAUGGCUCAGAUUGAACGCUGGCGGCAUGCCUUACACAUGCAAGUCGAACGGCAGCAUGAUCUAGCUUGCUAGAUUGAUGGCGAGUGGCGAACGGGUGAGUAAUACAUCGGAACGUGCCCUGUAGUGGGGGAUAACUAGUCGAAAGAUUAGCUAAUACCGCAUACGACCUGAGGGUGAAAGUGGGGGACCGCAAGGCCUCAUGCUAUAGGAGCGGCCGAUGUCUGAUUAGCUAGUUGGUGAGGUAAAGGCUCACCAAGGCGACGAUCAGUAGCUGGUCUGAGAGGACGAUCAGCCACACUGGGACUGAGACACGGCCCAGACUCCUACGGGAGGCAGCAGUGGGGAAUUUUGGACAAUGGGGGCAACCCUGAUCCAGCAAUGCCGCGUGUGUGAAGAAGGCCUUCGGGUUGUAAAGCACUUUUGUCCGGAAAGAAAUCGCACUUACUAAUAUUAGGUGUGGAUGACGGUACCGGAAGAAUAAGGACCGGCUAACUACGUGCCAGCAGCCGCGGUAAUACGUAGGGUCCAAGCGUUAAUCGGAAUUACUGGGCGUAAAGCGUGCGCAGGCGGUUGUGCAAGACCGAUGUGAAAUCCCCGGGCUUAACCUGGGAAUUGCAUUGGUGACUGCACGGCUAGAGUGUGUCAGAGGGGGGUAGAAUUCCACGUGUAGCAGUGAAAUGCGUAGAGACGUGGAGGAAUACCGAUGGCGAAGGCAGCCCCCUGGGAUAACACUGACGCUCAUGCACGAAAGCGUGGGGAGCAAACAGGAUUAGAUACCCUGGUAGUCCACGCCCUAAACGAUGUCAACUAGUUGUUGGGGAUUCAUUUCCUUAGUAACGUAGCUAACGCGUGAAGUUGACCGCCUGGGGAGUACGGUCGCAAGAUUAAAACUCAAAGGAAUUGACGGGGACCCGCACAAGCGGUGGAUGAUGUGGAUUAAUUCGAUGCAACGCGAAAAACCUUACCUACCCUUGACAUGCCACUAACGAAGCAGAGAUGCAUUAGGUGCUCGAAAGAGAAAGUGGACACAGGUGCUGCAUGGCUGUCGUCAGCUCGUGUCGUGAGAUGUUGGGUUAAGUCCCGCAACGAGCGCAACCCUUGUCUCUAGUUGCUACGAAAGGGCACUCUAGAGAGACUGCCGGUGACAAACCGGAGGAAGGUGGGGAUGACGUCAAGUCCUCAUGGCCCUUAUGGGUAGGGCUUCACACGUCAUACAAUGGUGCAUACAGAGGGUUGCCAAGCCGCGAGGUGGAGCUAAUCCCAGAAAAUGCAUCGUAGUCCGGAUCGUAGUCUGCAACUCGACUACGUGAAGCUGGAAUCGCUAGUAAUCGCGGAUCAGCAUGCCGCGGUGAA